rnacentral:rRNA from 1 species
UAAGGAGGGGGCAAGCGUUAUUCGGAAUCAUUGGGCGUAAAGGGCGCGUAGGCGGCUAGGUAAGUCAGGGGUGAAAUCCCUCGGCUCAACCGAGGAAUUGCCUCUGAAACUGCCUAGCUCGAGGCCGGGAGAGGGUAGUGGAAUUCCCAGUGUAGCGGUGAAAUGCGUAGAUAUUGGGAGGAACACCAGGGGCUAAGGCGGCUACCUGGACCGGUUCUGACGCUGAGGCGCGAAAGCGUGGGGAGCAAACAGG